UACCUCCCCAGGCUUCCUAGGAGUGCAUCAUCACACAACAGCCAGACGAACAAAGAUGGCUUCGGAAGCUGAAAGAAACAGCUUUUUCUGGGUUGCCCACCUGGACCUGCACUUCAAGCAUGCCACCAUCAACACACUGGCAGGACCAUUUGACAGAUGAUGGACGUCUGUUCUAAGCUGGGAAAGUUCCUUCCCACUAACCUCACCCCUGACCACCUCAGACAGCAUGUCCUGCCAAUUUCAUCCCUUAUUGCCCCCCCUUUCUGAAGCUGAUCCUUUUUAUACAUAAUUUUAUGCUAAAUAUACUCAGACCACAUUAAGAAAAUAAAGCUGCCUAUUAACUCUA